rnacentral:rRNA from 1 species
GCAUGCUUUUACAGUANGAAAAUUGGUGAUUUAUAAUAACUUAGCAAAUCGCAAAGUGAAAACAGGCGAUAAAUCAUUCAAGUUUCUGACCUAUCAGCUUUCGACGGUAUGGUAUUGGCUUACCGUGGCAGUGACGGUUAACGGGGGAUUAGGGUUCGAUUCCGGAGAGGGAGCCUGAGAAACGGCUACCACAUCUAAGGAAGGCAGCAGGCGCGCAAAUUACCCAAUUCUAACAGUUUGAGAGAGGUAGUAACAAGAAAUAACAAUACAAGGCAGUUAAAAUGCUUUGUAAUUGGAAUGAUAGAAAUUUAAACCCUUUUUAAAGUAUCAAUUGGAGGGCAAGUCUGGUGCCAGCAGCCGCGGUAAUUCCAGCUCCCAUAGCGUAUAUUAAAAUUGUUGCAGUUAAAAGCUCGUAGUUGAAGUUCUGCUAAAAGUAACCGGUCUGCUUUUAAUAAAGGUGGUAUCUUGGGUGUGUAUUUAGCAUGGAUGUCCUUUGGAAGGGUUUUUUACUUUAUUGAAAAAAGCAUAUCCAGGACUUUUACUUUGGAGAAAAUUAAAGGGUU